UACGGGGGGGGCAAGCGUUGUUCGGAAUUACUGGGCGUAAAGGGCUCGUAGGCGGCCAACUAAGUCAUACGUGAAAUCCCUCGGCUUGACCGGGGAACUGCGUCUGAUACUGGAUGGCUUGAGUUCGGGAGAGGGAUGCGGAAUUCCAGGUGUAGCGGUGAAAUGCGUAGAUAUCUGGAGGAACACCGGUGGCGAAGGCGGCAUCCUGGACCGAUACUGACGCUGAGGAGCGAAAGCCAGGGGAGCAAACGGG
rnacentral:rRNA from 1 species